GACGAACGCUGGCGGCGUGCUUAACACAUGCAAGUCGAACGGAAAGGCCCUGCUUUUUUGGGGUGCUCGAGUGGCGAACGGGUGAGUAACACGUGAGUAACCUGCCCUUGACUUUGGUAUAACUUCAGGAAACUGGGGCUAAUACCGGAUAGGAUCUCCUGCUGCAUUGUGGGGGUUGGAAAGUUUCGGCGGUUGGGGAUGGACUCGCGGCUUAUCAGCUUGUUGGUGGGGUAGUGGCUUACCAAGGCUUUGACGGGUAGCCGGCCUGAGAGGGUGAACGGCCACAUUGGGACUGAGAUACGGACCAGACUCCUACGGGAGGCAGCAGUGGGGAAUAUUGCACAAUGGGCGGAAGCCUGAUGCAGAAACGCCGCGUGCGGGAUGACGGCCUUCGGGUUGUAAAACGCUUUCGCCUGUGACGAAGCGUGAGUGACGGUAAUGGGUAAAGAAGCACCGGCUAACUACGUG
rnacentral:rRNA from 1 species